GCAUGUACACAUGUACACAUGUACACAUGUACACAUGUACACAUGUACACAUGUACACAUGUACACAUGUACACAUGUAGCCCAGGUGUAUUAGUAUGAUCAUUCACAGGAGCAGGAAGCCAAAUUGAAGGGUUUCACCGUCCUCUGCAUGCUUCUGUAGAUGACAGGGCGAAUAUGUCUCAACACAGUUUAUAGCUGCGCUUUUAAGUUAGCAACUAACAAUAGCUGUAGGCUGGAGAGAAUCAAAGACUGAAGACUGACUGACUGACUCUCCAGAACAAACAGGCUGAAAGCUGCAGCACUGAGUGAGGCCUUCGUCAGGCAGGGUGGAUCCAGAGGUGGAUGGAGAUGUGUGUGUGUGUGUGUGUGGGGGGGGGGGGUAAGGACUUGAAAGCACAUACCAGUAGGAGAGCACUUGGAAAAUAAUGACUCUGUCUAUGUGCUGGAGUGGGCUGUUAUUCAUACGUGUUACUCAUUGAUCCAGACAACCAGAGGGAGUGGUGUGCAAGCCAGGGAAUGGCUCCAGCAACCCAGUGGACAUGAGUGAACACGGGUUCACACACACACACACACACACACACACACAUAUAUAUACAAACAAACUUUUUCAUAUUAACUAUCAAAGUCCAAGUCGACAUGUGCCGGAAGGACAAAAAGUCACUGGGUUUGUUUGUAUAUGUGUGUGUGUGUGUGUGUGUGUGUGAAAAGCAAAGAUAUUUGCGUACAAAACAUACAAAAACACACAAAGACUGCCCUUCCUCUCUCUAAGUCAGCCCUCCACGUCCCCCAUGCUUGUCCAAACACUCCUCCGUCUUUGACAACACACCACACACACACACACACACACACACACUAUGACACACGCGCUUUGUUAUUAGACAGUACCCGGAGUGUAGCCCUGACAAAGAAUGUGACAGCUCCACACACGUCGCACGGCACAGGGAGAACACACUACACACACACACUGGGAAGGAGGCGCAGGAGGAGGCGUAGGAGUGGAGGCAGCAUGACCCAACAUGCACCUGGCUCUGACAGAAAACCGUCCGACGCUCCAUCGCACAAAGACUCAGAGGAGAAGAGCGGGGAAGGCCGGCAUUCCGGGGGAGAGGGUUGUGUACACGGGACUGAGCCGGGGCUUAGACGCAGAAAGACCCGGAGACAGAGACGGAGGGCAGAAGGAGGGCGGGGGGUCGGGAGGGCCACAGGAGAUGAUGGGGGUGAUAGUGAGCAGAAGUGGAAAAGAUGAGGGCAACAGGACAAAAGACAGCUGAUAGGUGUGUGUGUGUGUGUGUCUGGUGUCCCGUCUUCACUGGCGGUCCAGUGUGGACACCUGCAGCUCAUCACUGCUCUGUGUGGAGGGUCCAGUGGUAGGACAGUUGGACAAACUUCUGUGACCGUCUGACCCUCAGAGAGCCUGGAUCCAGCCAGCAGUCCCCGCGCACACUUAACCACUGGGUCUUUUGUAGAUGUGAAGGAGAGACAUAACUCAUGUCGUUCUUCAGGAUGUACAAGUGAGGAGGAGUGAAGGAACUGGGCCGUAAACGGGUCAGCGAGGCACUGAUUUACGGUACAAGCAAACUGUCUCCUGAUGGCGAUGUCAUCACAGUACGGCCGUCGCUGCACAUAUAUAUCUCCUCUUUGCUAAUAUGCUUCGUUACAGAUCAGCUUCAGCCUGGAGAUGUUCAGCAGAGACCUGCAGAGAUCAUCUGUCCUCCCUUCCUUCCUUCCUUUCUUCCUUCCUUCCUUCUCAGCCUCAGGAGUUCAAAGCUGAUAGAAAAGCUUUAUGACCACACCCACAGACAGAUCAGUGUGUCAGGCCCUUUUCAUUCUUGCCAUCAGUUAUGGGGUGAGGGCGGGGUACAAACCUGGAUGGACUGGACCACCAGUCCAUCACAGAGCCACAUAUUAAGACUAAAGACUGAAUAUAAAGAGCUAACACACUGUGGUCAUGUAUAUUAUUAGACUGAGGAGGAAUUGAAGAGAACAUACAAACUAGAUACAGAAAGAGGCUUGAACUGAUGACCUUUGUACUGUAAGGCAAAAACACUAACCGCUGCUUCAUUGCGUAGCUGUGGCUUUUUUUUAAUCAAAUAUAAAUUCUAAAGACAGAGAGAGGAAGGAAUAAUUCUCAACCUUGGGAGAGCAGAAAGUUACUGCUAUUAAACAUUUACUCAGGUUAUUUUUUACUCCUGCUUAUCUCUUUAUCAUUGCUUUUCCAGCACACUGAGUCACACACACACACUCAUGCACUGAUACACGAUGUAAAACUUCACUCUGCUCACCCUCUGACUGUCACUGAAGUAUAACUUCGUUUGUCAAACGAUCGUUUUUACACAGGAAGUCACUGACCUGUGUACGAAGACUUCUUCAUCGUCUCUUCUCUCUGUGCUUCUCAGUCUGAAGAUUGUAACAGUUGACUGUUGUGCAUCCGUAACGUUUCCAGGUUCGUGUCCUCUGUCUCUGUCUUUCCCUCUGGCUCUCCUUCCUUCUCGACCACUCCUCGACGACCAGCUUUCCAAACACACCUGAGGGCAGCGCCAACCACUUGGAGGGACAGUCUUCUGGGAACGAGGACUCCAAUCACACCUGCGCUCCUGACGCACGCCCAGUCCAGCAGCGGGAGUGGUUUACUGCGGGGGUUUUCUCACAUUAAAAAGCUCGGAAGUGGGAUGAAGAGGGUUUUCUGGGAAUAAUGUCAGGGCUUGCGGCUGAACUGAGCUCUGUCUAAGAGUAAAUAAACGCCUUUGGAAGCGCAGUAAUCCCCAAAUUCAACAGGUCUGGUCUGUUGCGCAACUUGGAAGGCGUGGAAGUGGAUGUUAACUGUCACCGAUGAUCAGACAUGAUAAUCAUCACUGUUAAAAUGAAUAAUAGCAGGGCACACGUGCACUGAUCGGUCUAUUUAUGAGCACACGCUGUCAUUUUCUUUGUGUGUUUUCAGGCAGUUGUCUGUAUGUAGUACAGUUAGGGUAUGCAGUUUCGACAGGAUGCACAUAAACACAGGAGUAACAGUAGAAAAAGAGCAGCGAGAAUCGAACCAAACACCUACUUGCUGUUAGGCGAGAGCACCAGCCACACUUCCACUAUACAGUACAGCCUCAUGAAGUAUGUUUUUUUUCCCUAUCUCUCUGCUACAAAUAAACCAUAGCAUCAUCUAGAUGUUAUUUUAUAAACAACUAAGUCAACUAAACAUUGCUCCACAGAAUGGGGACAAAGCAGCAAAAAUAGAUUAAGAAAAAUAAGACAAAAAUAUGUUUAUAUUUUAAAACGUAUUUUACACGUGGCAUAAUAAGACCAAAAUAUUCACUGUAUUCCAUGUUCCGGUACAGAGAGACUGAAGGUCACAAAACAUCUGUAAACUCA